CACACACAUGCUUGGGCCACACACAAGCCUCCCCAGUCUCCCCAGGUCCAGACGAGGAGCGGGAAUGGAGGGGGGAGCCCGCGGGGAUGGGGACACAGUGAGUCUCUCCCUGUGCAGGCCCCACUCCACCCUACGCCACACCACAGACAACGGAGGAAAGGGUCCAGGUGAGCUUCAGACCACGUCUGAGCCAGCCACACCCAUGGAACACAAAGAAGUCUCUCAUUACAGAAAAGGAAAUCUGACCCAGCGAUUCCCCUGCUUAAAACACCUUUCAGUGACGCGUUUGGCAGGAGGCGGUGGAGGCAGUGAGCAUUUGGAUCCAGGGAACAUUCCACGUUCUAGAACAAUCAUCUGUUUAUUGAUUGAUUUAGCAAGCAUUUAAUUACCACUUCCUGUGUGCUCCGCACAUGUUACUUCAUCUUCGCAGCAAGCUUUUAGGACCGUGUAUUUGUUCUGCUUUAUUAUGAACCACCCCAACCUUAGUGGCUUCAA